rnacentral:rRNA from 1 species
AUUGACAGAUUGAGAGCUCUUUCUUGAUUCUGUGGGUGGUGGUGCAUGGCCGUUCUUAGUUGGUGGAGCGAUUUGUCUGGUUAAUUCCGAUAACGAACGAGACUCUUACUUGCUAAAUAGCUACUCGAGCAUCUAGCUCGGAGAUAACUUCUUAAAGGGACUAGUGGGGUUUAGCCACACGAGAUUGAGCAAUAACAGGUCUGUGAUGCCCUUAGAUGUUCGGGGCCGCACGCGCGCUACACUGACCGGAUCAUCGUGUGCUUCCCUUGGCCGAAAGGCCCGGGUAAUCCCUUGAACCCCGGUCGUGCUAGGGAUAGGGAAUUGCAAUUGUUUCCCUUGAACGAGGAAUUCCCAGUAAGCGCGAGUCAUUAGCUCGCGUUGAUUACGUCCCUGCCCUUUGUAAUAAC